rnacentral:rRNA from 1 species
AUGUCCUUAAUUGCCAGCAACAGCAGCAAACGUCGCCGGCGCCUUCCCACUGUACAUCACGCAUCCAGCGGCGUCUCCCCUGGCGCCGGCACGGCGGCGCCCUCCCCCUGGGCGUCCAUGAACGAAGACUUGCUUCGCCUGAUCGCCUGGCGGGUGCUGGCCGGCGACCUGCUGGGCUACGUCCGCUUCCGCGCGGUCUGCCGCCACUGGCGGUCCAGCACCGACAGCCCACGCGGCCGCGGCAUCAUUGACCCACGCUUCCACCCGCGCCGCUGGAUGAUGUUCCCGGAGGGCCACGGCCUGCACCCAUCUCACACCAAGCUCCACGGAUACAUCCACUUCCUCAACCUCGACACGGGAAAGUUCGUCCGCGCCAACCUCCCGGCCUUCAAGGACCACUGCAUCCUCGACUCGGUGGACGACCUGCUGGUCAUGCACAGGGACGAGGACACGGCCGUCCGCCUCCUCCACCCUUUCACCGGCGACGUCGUGGACCUCCCGCGGCUCGUGACCCUUGUGCCGCACAUUGACCUAGGCCUGCCUGGGGCCUUUCUCCCGGCGCAGAGGUGCUACUACCUCAGAGGAGUGUGCGCUUCCCUCAGCGUCAGCGCCGCCGGAGUUGUCACCGUCUUGCUUGCGCUGCAUCGGAUGGGCCGCGUCGCCUUCGCCACCUCCCGGGACCAGCAAUGGCGCAUGUCAACAUGGGCACUUGGUUACAACACACCCUUGUCGUUUCAAGGCAAACUAUAUAUGGCGCGAAUGAGCUUCGAUCCCAAAAAGAACUCGGAUAUAUUCCAAGUUGAUCACCACCACAACAGGGCCAUCUGUUAG